AGUAUUGUAUUUUCUUUUCAGUCAGUCUGACAUUUAUUUCAUUUGUAAAGAAUAACAUAACAUGGAUUAUCUGCGUUUUCUGCCGUCGCUCUGUUUCACUGGAAACGGAUAUGAAGUAGUCGCCGUCGGCGACAACGUAGAAACAGAAAAUACUCAGG